GCAUCAGUGGUGUAGCGGUAACAUUGGGUCUUCCCAUUGUCAUUCUUGAUUAGACUGUGGCCUAGCUCCGGGUUCGACUCCCGGCUGAUGCA